AAAAUGACUCUCGGCAACGGAUAUCUCGGCUCUUGCAUCGAUGAAGAACGUAGCGAAAUGCGAUACUUGGUGUGAAUUGCAGAAUCCCGUGAACCAUCGAGUCUUUGAACGCAAGUUGCGCCUGAAGCCAUUAGGUUGAGGGCACGCCUGCUUGGGUGUCACAC
rnacentral:rRNA from 1 species